rnacentral:rRNA from 1 species
CCUACGGGUGGCUGCAGUGGGGAAUCUUGGGCAAUGGGCGCAAGCCUGACCCAGCAACGCCGCGUGAAGGAAGAAGGCUUUCUGGUUGUAAACUUCUUUUAAGGGGGAAGAGCAGAAGACGGUACCACUUGAAUAAGCCACGGCUAACUACGUGCCAGCAGCCGCGGUAAUACGUAGGUGGCAAGCGUUGUCCGGAUUUACUGGGUGUAAAGGGCGUGCAGCCGGAGAGACAAGUCAGAUGUGAAAUCCACGGGCUCAACCCGUGAAAUGCAUUUGAAACUGUUUCCCUUGAGUGUCGGAGAGGAGAGCGGAAUUCCUUGUGUAGCGGUGAAAUGCGUAGAUAUAAGGAAGAACACCAGUGGCGAAGGCGGCCUUCUGGGCUUUAACUGACGCUGAGGCUCGAAAGCGUGGGGAGCAAACAGGAUUAGAUAUCCUUGUAGUC